rnacentral:rRNA from 1 species
GUCGAACGGGAAUUCAUUUAUAGCAAUAUACGUGGAUUCUAGUGGCGAAAGGGUGCGUAACACGUAGCUACCUACCUCGAAGUUGGGGAUAGCUCGGCGAAAGCCGGAUUAAUACCGAAUGUGACCGUAAGGUCAAAGCUGGGGAUCGUAAGACCUGGCGCUUUGAGAUGGGGCUGCGGCCUAUCAGCUAGUUGGCGGGGUAACGGCCCACCAAGGCUCGGACGGGUAGCUGGUCUGAGAGGACGACCAGCCACACUGGAACUGAGACACGGUCCAGACACCUACGGGUGGCAGCAGUCGAGGAUUUUUCUCAAUGGGGGAAACCCUGAAGGAGCGACGCCGCGUGAGGGAUGAAGGUCUUCGGAUUGUAAACCUCUGUCAUCUGGGAACAAUGUGAUCUACCUAACACGUGGAUCAUUGAUAGUACCGGAAGAGGAAGCAGUGGCUAACUCUGUGCCAGCAGCCGCGGUAAUACAGAGACUGCAAGCGUUGUUCGGAUUCAUUGGGCGUAAAGGGUGCGCAGGCGGCCCGUUAAGUCGGAUGUGAAAUCUCACAGCCUAACUGUGAUAGGUCAUUCGAAACUGGCGGACUUGAGGACUGGAGAGGAGACUGGAAUGGUCGGUGUAGCGGUGAAAUGCGUAGAGAUCGACCAGAACACCGGUGGCGAAGGCGGGUCUCUGGACAGUUCCUGACGCUCAGGCACGAAAGCCAGGGGAGCAAACGGGAUUAGAUACCCCGGUAGU